GCCCGGGUAGCUCAGGGGUAGAGCAGUGGACUGAAAAUCCUCGUGUCGGUGGUUCAAAUCCGCCCCGGGCACCA
rnacentral:tRNA from 1 species